ensembl:snoRNA SNORA73 Small nucleolar RNA SNORA73 family
UCAGCGUGGAUAUCCUGUGUGAACAUGCUUCCUGGGCACUGUCCAGGCGGCAGAGGGGAGCAUAAGACUCUACAAUGAUGUACAGUCCUGUCCUACAACGGGCAAAUGAAUCCAGGCCUUGAAUUUUGUCUGUAUAAGCCUCUUGUUUCUCAGAGAUAAACCAUACAGGAAACAACU